rnacentral:rRNA from 1 species
UACGGGGGGGAGCAAGCGUUGUUCGGAUUUACUGGGCGUAAAGGGCGCGUAGGCGGCGUGACUAGUCACUUGUGAAAUCUCCGGGCUUAACUCGGAACGGUCAAGUGAUACUGUCGUGCUAGAGUACAGAAGGGGCAACUGGAAUUCUCGGUGUAGCGGUGAAAUGCGUAGAUAUCGAGAGGAACACCUGCGGCGAAGGCGGGUUGCUGGGCUGAUACUGACGCUGAUGCGCGAAAGCCCAGGGGAGCGAACGGG